rnacentral:rRNA from 1 species
CCUACGGGAGGCAGCAGUGGGGAAUUUUGGACAAUGGGCGAAAGCCUGAUCCAGCAAUGCCGCGUGAGUGAAGAAGGCCUUCGGGUUGUAAAGCUCUUUUGUCAGGGAAGAAACGGUGAAGGCUAAUAUCCUUUGCUAAUGACGGUACCUGAAGAAUAAGCACCGGCUAACUACGUGCCAGCAGCCGCGGUAAUACGUAGGGUGCAAGCGUUAAUCGGAAUUACUGGGCGUAAAGCGUGCGCAGGCGGUUUUGUAAGUCUGAUGUGAAAUCCCCGGGCUCAACCUGGGAAUUGCAUUGGAGACUGCAAGGCUAGAAUCUGGCAGAGGGGGGUAGAAUUCCACGUGUAGCAGUGAAAUGCGUAGAUAUGUGGAGGAACACCGAUGGCGAAGGCAGCCCCCUGGGUCAAGAUUGACGCUCAUGCACGAAAGCGUGGGGAGCAAACAGGAUUAGAUACCCUGGUAGUCCACGCCCUAAACGAUGUCUACUAGUUGUCGGGUCUUAAUUGACUUGGUAACGCAGCUAACGCGUGAAGUAGACCGCCUGGGGAGUACGGUCGCGAAGAUUAAAACNCAAAAGUAGUAGUACGACGNGAGAGAGACGACGACGACGACGACGGAGGGAGGAGG